UUAAAUAGAUACUUAUAUACCUAAAAAUAACUUUUUGAAAAAAUAAAAAGCAAACUACUAGAAAGUUGUUGCUCGAAUUUGAUCAACUUCUAGCUAAACGGAUAGGAACCCGUUUAAAUGGCCAAAAAUAACUAGAAAUAUAAAAAAUGAAUACAAGUUGGUGAUCAUCCAUAAAAUUUGUUCCAAAUUGACAGAAAAAUUUAACGGUGCCAAUUUGCAAAAUAUUUUUGAUAGCACAUUCACAAACCACUAUAUUUUUAGCAAUUAAAAAAAGUAUUUUAGACCACAGACGUUUGAAACUAAUAACGACUCUUCCCACGAAUCACUGAACUGUAGCCGAUAACCUUCCACACAUGAUAGAUCCAACAUCUAUGACUCACCUCUCAACAGCCCGACCCAAACCCUACCAGCUCUCCUCCCUGCAUCCCCUCCAUUCUCGAGAACAUGCGAGCCGCCGCCUCCUUCUGCCCGAUCUCUCACCUCGCUUUGCUCCCGAACCCUCACCACCAACAGAUCGACCAACUCUGCCCCGGCGAUGGACUCCACCUCGCUCGCCGCCCCCACCCACCUGCCCUCUCUCCUGCGACGUCGCCUAGGGUCACGUCUUGGAUCUGUCCACGAAGAAGGCACCGGGAGAGGAGGAGGGGGCGGUAACAGUGGCCUUCCGGAUCUGAGGAGAAGAAGGUCCGACGGAUGGGCUCGCUCUCUGGCUGCGCCCCGAGCAAUCGUCGACUUACGGGGCGAGGAGGAUUCUCGCACCGUCGUGGCCGCCUCAGGGACACCUCGCCGUCGGCUGCCGCCCGAGCGCGAUUGCCUCACCGCCGUGGUCGCCUCGCGCGCGCCCCGGUGUUGCGUGUCGUGCCGCCACCAUGUUCCAGAAGCUUAACACCGUCGGCGAGUCCCUCCCUCUGGCCCGACCCUGUGCUCUGGAACCUUGUGGCGCUGAUUAUCUAUGGUGGGACCAACGCACGUCCGGUCGCCCUUCAAGACCAGACAAACUAGCCAGCUAACUUUGGAAUUCACCGGUCGGAAAACGUAAGCAAGUACUCCUACGUCUUUCAUCGUAUAGAAAAGUAGCGGUCCGAGCCCAAGCUAGUUUUGUGCCGCCACACUCGAGGGAGCCACCUAACGAAAAAAUGUCGCCGGUUUCGUGCUUGACUGGUCAGACCACACAUAGUCGUGAACCGACGCGCACAAAGAAUCACAUGUGGUGGAUGCCUAAACUUGAGCCCGUGGUUAGGGUUCACAUGCCACGGUCACCAAUAGCCCAAGAAAUGGGUGACGUGUCAUGUGAGAACUAAGACUGGUCACAAUGGGGAGUAACAUAAGAUAGUAACAUACACACUUUCCUAGACUAUAUUCCUACCUUCACAAUGGGGAGUAACAUGUAUGUAGUGUCAUGCAACGUUGCAUUUAUUAGGCUAUAGACUCAUUGUUUCUUAAAGUGUGUGAUGUUACGGUAACUUAGCUAGUUACCACAAGCACCUCUCUCUUCAUUAAAUACGUGCCACGUAAGCAAACUUGUAUUGGAGUGUGUGAUGUUACUACUAAGUUCCUCCCCAUUGUGACCAGCCUAAGGUGUGUGACGCGAGUGUCGGAACGGACGGCAGUACCUCGGCGUCACCGCCAGAGCCGCCCAUCCCGCUGGAUGCCUUCAUUAAGCUCGAGUUGUGUGUGUUAUAGCAGUGUGUGAUUACGAAAGUUAUUUUCAAUGUGAGAACGUGCUUCACCUUAUUUAUCAUAUAGUACUAUCAUGCAUAUGAUACUAUUGUAUGAUACUACCUUCAUAAUGCAUGGUAUCAUAGAUAACCUUAUUUAUUGACAUGCGUGACACAUAGUAGCAUAACAUUUAACAUGUUACGGUAUCUACCUAUGUUACUAUAAGAG
rnacentral:lncRNA from 1 species